UACAGAGGUCCCAAGCGUUGUUCGGAUUCAUUGGGCGUAAAGGGUGCGUAGGCGGUGGGGUAAGUUGGAUGUGAAAUCUUGGGGCUUAACCUCAAAAUUGCAUUCAAUACUGCUCCGCUCGAGUUCUGUAGAGGGGAUUGGAAUUUACGGUGUAGCAGUGAAAUGCGUAGAUAUCGUAAGGAACGCCAGUGGCGAAAGCGAAUCUCUGGGCAGCAACUGACGCUGAGGCACGAAGGCCAGGGGAGCAAACGGG
rnacentral:rRNA from 1 species